UACACAUGCAAGUCGAGCGGUAGAGAGAAGCUUGCUUCUCUUGAGAGCGGCGGACGGGUGAGUAAUGCCUAGGAAUCUGCCUGGUAGUGGGGGAUAACGUUCGGAAACGGACGCUAAUACCGCAUACGUCCUACGGGAGAAAGCAGGGGACCUUCGGGCCUUGCGCUAUCAGAUGAGCCUAGGUCGGAUUAGCUAGUUGGUGGGGUAAUGGCUCACCAAGGCGACGAUCCGUAACUGGUCUGAGAGGAUGAUCAGUCACACUGGAACUGAGACACGGUCCAGACUCCUACGGGAGGCAGCAGUGGGGAAUAUUGGACAAUGGGCGAAAGCCUGAUCCAGCCAUGCCGCGUGUGUGAAGAAGGUCUUCGGAUUGUAAAGCACUUUAAGUUGGGAGGAAGGGCAGUAAAUUAAUACUUUGCUGUUUUGACGUUACCGACAGAAUAAGCACCGGCUAACUCUGUGCCAGCAGCCGCGGUAAUACGGAGGGUGCAAGCGUUAAUCGGAAUUACUGGGCGUAAAGCGCGCGUAGGUGGUUAGUUAAGUUGGAUGUGAAAUCCCCGGGCUCAACCUGGGAACUGCAUUCAAAACUGACUGACUAGAGUAU
rnacentral:rRNA from 1 species